rnacentral:rRNA from 1 species
AUUGAACGCUGGCGGCAGGCCUAACACAUGCAAGUCGAACGAGUUGCGGACGGGUGAUUAAUGUCUGGGAAACUGCCCGCUGGCGGGGGAUAACUACUGGAAACGGUAGCUAAUACAGCCUACCAUCGGCUGUGCCCAGAUGGGAUUAGCUAGUAGGUGGGGUAACGGCUCACCUAGGCGACGAUCCCUAGCUGGUCUGAGAGGAUGACCAGCCACACGGGAAAGGAGACACGGUCAAGACGCCUACGGGAGGCAGAAGGGGGGAAGAGUGCACGAUGGGCGAAAGCCUGAUGCAGCAAUGCCGCGUGUAUGAAGAAGGCCGUCGGGUUGUAAAGUACUUUCAGCGAGGAGGCGUGACUCGCAGAAGAAGCAUCGGCUAACGCCGUGCCAGAAGCCGCGGUAAUUC